rnacentral:rRNA from 1 species
UACCAGCUCUUCGAGUGGUGUGGAUGUUUAUUGGGCCUAAAGCAUCCGUAGCUGGCUAGGCAAGUCCCCUGUUAAAUCCACCGAUUUAAUCGUUGGAGUGCGGGGGAUACUGUUCGGCUAGGGGACGGGAGAGGCAGACGGUAUUUUCGGGGUAGGGGUGAAAUCCAAUAAUCCCGGGAAGACCACCAGUGGCGAAGGCUGUCUGCUAGAACGCGCCCGACGGUGAGGGAUGAAAGCUGGGGGAGCGAACCGGAUUAGAUACCCGGGUAGUCCCAGCUGUAAACGAUGCAGGCUAGGUGUUUGGGCGGCCACGUGCCGCUCUAGUGCCGCAGGGAAGCCGUUAAGCCUGCCGCCUGGGGAGUACGGCCGCAAGGCUGAAACUUAAAGGAAUUGGCGGGGGAGCACCACAAGGGGUGAAGCUUGCGGUUU